rnacentral:lncRNA from 1 species
ACAUGACAUUUUGAUAUAGCCAUUUAAUGUAGGUAGAAAUGGCCAUGGAUGAGUUACUCAAAUACCAAUUUGGAUUAGCCCCCUGGCUGAUGCUGUUGGUUCUCUGCCUACAGACCUCCACACCCCGAGGGCAAACCUUAGACUCAUCAAUGCCAACAGGUAUGAGGGUGAGCUGGGCCAGUGUGCAGGAAAGUGCCAAAGAGUUCAUACACAGAGGCAGCCCUCAACCAAUGGAAAGACCAGGAAUUGGUAGAUAAACAACCAACUUCUUUGUUUCCCCAAUGGGAUAAUUUCAAUGCCUGUUCUACACUGGAACCCAGAGCUCCCCAGCUGAAUGAGCUCUGGUUGCCCGCAAUGGGGACCUGCCCAAUAGCACACCCUUAUUAGCCUCCUUCCCUCCCCUCCUCACUUCCUCCAUCCCUUACUUAACAGGUGUUUCCGGGGAUCUCCUCCCAAGGAAACAAUGUGUACUCAUAUCCUAUCUCAGCACUGCAUCAAAAGGAACUCAAAACAAGACAGGCACUGUUCUAAACUGUUUUUCUCUGCUAGAUCACAACUCUUAUUAAAGAACUCAAACCUAAGUCUAUCUUAUAUUCCGAAUUUUAUUACAGGAUAUUUAGGGCGCAACCUGGUAGGCAUAGAAGGUCUUUUCUGGGCAUGCUAAAUCCAGUCCUGCAAUUCAGAGAGUGCGCCUCAGAGACUUUGGAUCAAAUUGGGCUUGAAGUUCAAAUAAAUUAUCGGUGUCUGCAAGCCCAUUUCAAUCAAUAAAAACCAAAACAGAGUUUCUGGAGGUAGGAUUAUAAAAUGAUGCAGCCGCUUUGGAAAACAGUUUGGCGGUGUCUCCAAAAAUGUUGCACAGAGUUACCAUAUGAUCCAGCAGUUCCACUCGGUCUAUACCCAGAAGAAUUGAAAAUAUAUAUCCAUAAGAUCCUUGUACAUGAAUGUUCAUUGCAGCAGUAUUCCUAAUAGCCAAAAAAGGGGAAUCAACCCAAAUAUCCAGCAACUCAACCGAUGACUAGACAAUAUGUGGCAUAUCCAUACAAUGGAAUAUCAUUCAUCCAUAAAAAGAAAUAUAAAUACAUACAAUGACAUGGACGGACCUUGAAAAUAUUAGGCCAAGUGAAAGAAGCCAGUCACAGAAGGCCACAUAUACAAUUCCAUUUAUAUGAAAUGUCCCGAAUAGAAAGAUUCACAGAGGAGUUCCCGUCGUGGCACAGUGGUUAACAAAUCCGACUAGGAACCAUGAGGUUGCGGGUUCGGUCCCUGCCCUUGCUCAGUGGGUUAAGGAUCUGGCGUUGCCGUGAGCUGUGGUGUAGGUUGCAGACGCGGCUCGGAUCCAGCGUUGCUGUGGCUCUGGCGUAGGCCGGUGGCUACAGCUCCGAUUCAACCCCUAGCCUGGGAACCUCCAUAUGCCACCAUGGAAGCAAAAAGAAAAAAAAAAAAGAAUUCAUUCCAAAGGCCUGAAGUCAUUCCCUGGGGUGAGGACAGAACACAGGUCACUACACAAUUAAUUUCAACAUCAUGAUGUUUAACUAACAAUAAAAAUCUUGAACAAAGUCUCUAAAAUGAUCCACAUGAAACAGAAUUUCCCCUUGAAACAGAAUUACAAGACAAAGUGGGCAGGGCCUUGAGGAACACCCAAUCCCAUUCAGUAGAUGAAAGCUUGAGAAACUGAGGCUCAGAGAGAGAACUUGCCCAGGGACAUCCACUUAGAUGGCUGGGUCAUUUGGAGGAAAAGUUAUUCCAUAGUCCCAGGUUUUUUCCCCAAACCCUGAUUGGAAUCAAAAAUGAUUUCUCCCCUAGCAAUCCUUGACAAAUUUUUUUUUUGGCAAUUCUUAAUAAAGGCACUUCUCUGGCAUAAAUGCUAAAAUUGCCUAAAUACGGCUAACGCUUGGAUAAUGCUGGUUAAUCCCGGCUAAGGUUUGAUACUCUAAAGCAUCUUUUCCUAUCAAUAAACUUUUAUGUAGGAAACUCUCAUUUGCCUUGUGUUUCUUAUGGAAAUGUGAUUUGUACAUACAUCCUCCCUGCAUAAAUAUUUAGCCCAUCAUUGUGCUACAUGAAUUCCCUGCAAAUUAGGUGGAAAUCAGGCUCAGCUGACAGCAGCAUCUAUACUCAUCCAGGGGAAAAUCAUUAUUAUUUAGAACUUAUUAAGCCUCAGCAGUUAGUACUGGAUGGGCCUGGGAACAUCAAUAAAUACUGAGCACAGAUAUAAGCCAAAUGCUUGAGCUAAGAUUGCUCUUGUAAUUUCUACCUGCCAAGCGGCAGCAAAAGGUUGAAGGAAGAAAAUGGGUUGCAACUUGGUUCUGACAACUGCAAACUGUUGCAACAGGAGCAAACCACUAAAUCCCUCCUCAUCUAUAAGCUGGGUCUAACCAUACCUAUCUCACGGCGGGGGAGGGGGGGUCGUUAUAAAGAUUAAAGGAGAUAAUAACAUGUAAAGUAUUCAACACAUCUUGGCACUCAGUACGUGGUCAAUAGAUAAGUCGUAUCUAAAAAAACGAAUGAGCCCCAAGUGGUGAGAUGUGGAAUUGUUAGUUCACAGGUUGGUUAUAAGCCCUGAGUUAACAAACUUAACUUACUCCAGUCUCGACUAGGUUUUAUUUGAAGGUUGCCGUUCACUCUGACAAUAAGACAUAAAACUAAGCAGAGGACUGGUUUCACCUAACAUGGGAUAAAAACCUACAUGUUUAUACAAAUUGCAUCAUUAGACUUUGGAUCCAACGCUGUCCGUGUCCUACAGCCCUUGGACAUUUCCUUGUGCCCCAGCAACUUCCAUCUCUCAUAUCUGUAUCUCUGUGUGUAAAGGCUCUUGCUCCAGGAACUGUGGUGUGUAAAUAGCCCAGCUCCCUCGCCUCCUGUGUGGGGUCUUUUUGAAGCAUGUGUUUGCCCACAGGAUGACACUCCGGUCAACCAACACGGAUGCUGGCUCCAUCACACACUUUGCUGGCUCCUCUCUCUCCCUGUUUCACUUCCUCACUGGUUUGACCUCUUCUUCCCAAAUGAAAUCUCUUCAUUUGAAUCUUGUCUCAGAGUCUGGGAGAACUCUGAAGGAGUUCAGGCCAUGCCCCCCUAAAAUAUGCCGCUUUGGCAUAAUGAUUCUUUCUAACUGAGGACACUUGAGAAACUGCAGAUGCAAGAAGGGCUCUCUGACCUGCUCUUUUCUACUUAAAAACAGGCCAUAAAAGUUCCCAUGAGAAAAGCGCCCUCUCUGUACUGCAAAAACAAGAAUAUCUUUAUCACCAUAGAUUUGGAACAGACAUUGCAAUGGUUCUGUACAAAACAAACUUACUAAAAUAAUCCUGUCUUCCACCAGUUCCCCCUCCAAUAUUCUCUCCUAGUCAUUCCCCCACAAUGUACUGCCCCUGGCCCAAACCCCCAAACCCCUUUGUCAUCACUUCUUCAUAAAUUGAUCAUUUCUUUGUCUAAAAGGCAUAAAAGUUUCUGCUCUGUUCUUCAUUAUCUUGUGAAAGCUUCAUGCACAUGUAAAAAUGUAAUAAAACUUGUUUGCUUUUCACCUGUUAGUUCAUCUUAUGUCAGUUUAAUUAAUUCUUAGGUCCAGCUAGAGAACCCAGGAGGAUCGAGAAUUUUUCCUCCCCUACCACUCAAACUAAGUCACACACAUGCCAGGUUCUUAGGGCUGUGCCUGAAGCUCAGGAUCAAACCAAGUGUAAUGUGGGAGUAAAAAUAGCUCCCGUUCCCUGAAGGUUGGCCCUCCUAAGCUCCAGCCCCAUAUACCUGACAGCACACUGCUCUUUAGUUCAACCUGCAAAAGCCAUCUCCCCAUCUGCCCCACACACACCUGGGAAUAGCGCCAUCUCCCACUCAUUCUCGCAAGCCAGAAACCUGGACAUCACCCUCAUUUUCCCCUUUCCCUCCCCUGCCCUCUACCACUUCCAGCCGUUCACCAGGACCUGCCCAUCUGACCUCCUAAAUCUUCCCUGGGAUCAAUCACUUCUCUCCCAUCCCCACAACCACAGAGCCAAGCAAGACCCCCACCAUCUCUGGCCUCGAACCACUGGUGUAGCCUCCUAACUAUUGUCUCCUGUUCCCCUAACCGCCAACUCCCCACCCCCAAUACCACAGCCAGAGAAACCAGUCUUGGGAACUGCAAAUCAUAACAGCAACAAUGAACACUCAGUGAAUGCUGACUUUGUGCUAGGCACUGCUCUGACCUUAUGCCUCCCCCACUUAAAAUCCUCCACUUUCUGUGGCACUCAGGACAAAAACCCCCACCUCUUUGCUUAGGCCUCGAAGGCCCUGCAUGAGCUGGGCCACGGCUCUUUCUCUAUUUCCCCUGCUGGAUGGAAUUCUAAAGGGUCUCUUUCUGAACAAUUGUGUGCCUCAGUUUUCUGCUUUUAUUUCUGUGUGGAGAACUGAUGUCAAAGAUAAACACAGCCAGACAUUGGCUAAAGCAAUGAAAACAGAUUUUAUUCAGUAACUGAUAGUGAUGGAGGAGACACAGGUAGUUUUAGAAGUCCCAUUAAAGGAUCUAGAUAGAGAGGGGAAUCUGGGGGACUAUGGGAGAUCACUGUAAGUAAAUAAACUGCUCAAAAAAGCCAUCAGAACAAGGCAGCUUUGCUUCAUUAGUGAGCCUAGAGAAUCACCUCAGGUCUUUGUGGUGGGGAUGGAAUGAGGCCUGCAUUCAGAGUCAGACCACGGGCAGGAGUUUGAGGACCACCCUUCUGCUGAUUUGAAUACACACCUUGCCUGAUACUAAGGAGGAGCUACUGCUCCCAGAAAGGAAGAGGGGGGCUUUUCCAACCCCCACUCCCCUUGGAGGAUAAAACUGUAGCCCACCGGAUCCUCUGGGCAGAGCUUCCGUGCCUGCCCCCUUGCUUCUCUCACAAGCAUCCUAUCCUAACAAAUCCAUUUCUUGCCUGUCGCUUUGUCUCUUGCUGAAUUCCUUCUGCGCAGAGUCAUGAAGAACCUGAACCUCAGUGAGUCCAGACACAGGGUGAGUGAUUCUAACUUAACACCAUGGGUUUAAGUCCCAAUCUGGGUUUAGGCUGGGUUCGAGUCCCAGCACAUGAGUUCAAGUCCCAAUCAGGGUUUAGGCUGGGUUCAAGUCCCGGCACCUGGGUUCAAGUCCUAAUCUGUGUUCUGUCUGGCUAGGUUCAGGCUGUUAAAACUGUCAGUUUCAUAACCACUGACAGUAGGGGACAGUGCUGAGCCCCAUUCUGGCUUGUGCAGAGGUGACUUAAGAUUUUAAAAGAAGAAUGAGGGAAGAGGAAGGAGGAAUGGCAGGGACUUUGUUCAAGACAGGAAAGUGAAAAAUUACAAACAGCAGGAAGGGGUGGUUGGUCCACAUGAAACCCAUCUGGGUUUGCUCAAUGGGACCUAUCAAAGUUAAACUCCUACCCUCCCAUGGAGACUGGGAAAUGGGCCCUAUCUUCAGGUGUUGGUGGGAACAAACAGUGAAUCACUUCAUUUGGCAGUCUUCUCAGUUUUCUCAGUUUUCUCAGGUAGGAAUGUGGAGGCGACUAGGGUCAUCCUAGGGUUGCAACCUUGAGCUGUUAGCAGCUAUGCCAGUGUUUACUGAAGUCUGUAUAGGCCAAAGUUCAAUCCUACAAGAAGAAGGCUCAGGGGAGCUGGCCAGAGUUUGGUCAAGGACAGAAUCUUUGUCCCUGACUUUGGAUGUCCGUCAGUGCCAACUCCUCAUCUCCACCCCAAUCCCACCCAUCAUCUUCCCAGGCCUUCCUCCAACAUCUCCUCCAUCAAGAGGCAGCCCUACUCCUUGGGGCUCUCACUGGAACAUGUGGGAUGAGUAUGAGAUUAAGGAAGGUUCUAUGUAUCCCCUUUAACCAUCCAUAGGUUCUUUAGAGCAAGAACUGCUCCAGACCUCCCACAAGGCCUGGCACAGGACCCAACACACAGUAGGUGUUCAAAGAAGGUUUGCUGAGUUAAUGAAUGAAGCCAUCCAGCCUCAACCACAAAUGUUUGGGAAGUUUCCUUCAAACCACCUUCCCCCUGAGACCUGCGGUUGAUUGGACAAUUACUCCGGAGCUGGAACAAAUCACCCUCAGGCGCUCGAUAAAACUAUUCAAUGAAUGCUGCUGACAAAGGAGCUGAUUGCGCUGCUUUGACCCUGAAAGUAAUUACAAGCACCAGCAUUCAUCUGCCUGCGGGGGUGGCCCGGAAGGGGGUCCUCACCUUGAUGCAGCUCUGUCUUCUAAAUAAACUCAAAAGAGCGAAUGUUGACUCUUCCUCCAGGAUCACCAUCACUUGUUAGAAAUCAAACAAAGAGCAAGUGAGAGAUGUAAUCUGCACAGGCUACCAUCUCCCCCAGCCCAGCUGUGCUCCCUUAAUCAUCUCCAUCUCAGACACCAAACACUGUUCACCCCCUACCCCAGGCAAAGUCAGCAGGACAUCCCCGGAUCAAACGCCUGUUUGCUCUGCCCUCAGCCCUUCAUUAUCCCCUGCCACACACCAGCCACUACUGGCCUCAUUACCUUCUUGCUCCCACAUGGAAAAGCUGGAAGGCAUCCUGAGUGCUCCUUCUGACUCCUCCUCCAUCCAUCCAUUCAUUUGUUCUUUCCACAAGCACUUAUUGAUCACCUAUGAGAAGCAAGCGGACAGUGCUGGGUUUGUACUCAUGAACAAGAUAGACAUGAUCCCUGCCCAUAUGGAGUGCAACACCUGGAGAGGGAAAUACAAACAAUUUUAAAUUAAGCACACCUAUUAUUUGCAGCAUUCUUUGCCCGCCCCUGUAGGGAAGGAAUGUAGCAUAGAGUGAGAGGUCAUUACCCUUGUGGCCUUAAUGUUCCUCUCAGCUUGACCAAACUUUAAACAGUUUCCUCCUGACUCCAGACCCCAAACUCCCUUUUCUUAGAACAUUUACGUUAGAAAACUUGUCACUGUAAAUUCUUUCUUGGCCC